GCAUCUGGGGUCUUGGGAGAGUGAAGUGCUGGGCUCACCCUCACCUGUCAUCUCUUUGCACUCACCUUCACAUCUCUCUCUCCUGCGUGGAGUAAGGCUACAGAACAAGGGAGUUGGAAGGAAUGGCCUCCCCUAACUUGACUACCAGUCUCAGAUACUACUGGAAAGCUAUUUAUCUACUGUAAUGGUUAAAGAAGCUAAACACAUCCCUGCCUCCCUUGCAGACUUCUUUCCUUAAAAGUGCACCUGAUGCCUGGAGUUGGGACAGACACCUGGCAGCCAUGAGGCUACAUCCCGAACCUACAAAAUGCUGCUCCAUUGCGAACAUGCUCUGCCGGUGUCUGCUGUGAAAAGUCUACUGUACCAUGCCCGUGGCGGCCUCAGUACCAAAGGUGUUUAUAGACCUUGUCUUCAGGCACCCAGAGGACAUGUUUCAGGAUCCGCGCAGCCUGGAAGACUUUAAGUACUUCCCCAAUUUUUUUUUUCAGUUUAUUUUCUUGCCCUUUCCCUGCCCUCCCCCCUGCCCCAUUUUCCCCUUGCAGCUGUUGGAUGCGGUUAACAGUGUGGCCCUUUCAGCCUUGCUGAGCU